GGAUUGCUCAGUCGGCAGAGCAUGAGACUCUUAAUCUGAAGGUCGUGGGUUCAAGCCCCACUUGGGAUG
rnacentral:tRNA from 1 species